rnacentral:snoRNA from 10 species
AUACUAUGAUGGUUGCAUAGUUCAGCAGAUUGGAUCAUGAAGAGAUAGCUAUCUAUCUGAUGUAUCG